rnacentral:piRNA from 1 species
UGGGAUAGCACAGUAAGACAUUUGACCUUU